GGUGCCAUGUCCACAUCCAGGAUCUGAACCGGCGAACCCUGGGCCGCCGAAGCAGAACGUGCGAUCUUAACCAUUGUGCUACUGGACCGGCCGCAGGAAGAGAAAUUUUUUAAAUAGCUUUAUUGAGAUAGAAUUCACAUGCCAUACAAUCCUUCCAUACAAAGUGUCUAGUUCAAUGGCUUUUAGUAUAUUCACAGAGUUAUACAACCAACUGCCUUUUGCACUGGGUGCUUUCAGAGGUCAGGAUGAAAAGAAAGUAGACAGAAGAAACUUGUACAGAAGAAACUACCACUCUUUUCAAAGGCUCAAGUCCCAUCUUCCAAAGCUAACCCACAGGAAUUUUUUCAAAGCUUAUUCUCCUUCAGACAACUGGCUAAAAUGCCUAGAUUCCUUUCCAGUCUUUACUCUUAAAUGAUUCCGCCCUCCAUCCAUAUGGUCUUAUACUUGCUCUUGGCCACUGCUCUUUCCCCUUCCCCUCUAGCUUCACCCUCCAGAUCCAAAGGCCUGCUAUAGCACGUGGUGUUGUAGCACAGAGCUUCCGCACUAUGUGCAAACUGCCACGAAUGGGUGACAGGGAUGCCGAGGUGCUGCUCCCUCCCUCUGCAGGGCAGCCAUGGAGGGCACAAGCCAAUGGAAACUCUUAAGCCAGGGUCUCUACAGGGCUCACCCUCUUCAGCAUUUUCUCUGUGUCACAGAACGAAAAAGGUUGUGAAGUGCUGCUCUAGUUUCACUAAUUCAGUGAACAAACAGAGCUUGACACCAGCCACGUUCCAUUGUUCUGCUAUGUGCUGGGGCAACAAGGAAAAAGACAGUCCCUGACAGUCUGGAAAAGGGACAUAUAAGUAAUUACAACACACUGCGAUAUGAGCUCCAAGGUAACACUGUAACAGAAAGUAACCAAGAAAGCUCCUAGAACUGGUUUGGGAAACAAGAGAAGAGAGAAGUGAAAGUAGAUGAGAAAUGGCUGUUUCUAGCUAAGGAACCACCUUCUCAGGGAACCUGGAAGGGAAGAUGGUCUGAGAAGAAAUAAUCAAGAACUGCUUCGCCCAGAGGGAGACAGCUGGGAAUAACAACAAGGUAGAAGCGGAGAACGUGAACUCAGAACUGGAAACACUCACGACAACAAAUCAGAAAGAAAAGCUAACCGAGUGCAGAUGGUCACAUUCAUUUUAUAUCUCCCUGGCAGUUUAUGACAGCUUUAGACUUUAUCCGCUGUAACAGUAAAUCAGAAUUCAAAUUUG